GUGGGGAAUAUUGGACAAUGGGCGAAAGCCUGAUCCAGCCAUGCCGCGUGUGUGAAGAAGGUCUUCGGAUUGUAAAGCACUUUAAGUUGGGAGGAAGGGCAGUAAGUUAAUACCUUGCUGUUUUGACGUUACCGACAGAAUAAGCACCGGCUAACUUCGUGCCAGCAGCCGCGGUAAUACGAAGGGUGCAAGCGUUAAUCGGAAUUACUGGGCGUAAAGCGCGCGUAGGUGGUUUUGUAAGUUGGAGGUGAAAUCCCCGGGCUCAACCUGGGAACUGCCUCCAAAACUGCAUGACUAGAGUACGGUAGAGGGUAUUGGAAUUUCCUGUGUAGCGGUGAAAUGCGUAGAUAUAGGAAGGAACACCAGUGGCGAAGGCGACUACCUGGACUGAUACUGACACUGAGGUGCGAAAGCGUGGGGAGCAAACAGGAUUAGAUACCCGUGUAGUCC
rnacentral:rRNA from 1 species